CCCUUAGAUGUUCUGGGCCGCACGCGCGCUACACUGAUGCAUUCAACGAGUCUAAAACCUGCUCUGAUAGGGGUGGGUAAUCUUUUGAAUGUGCAUCGUGAUUGGGAUAGAUGAUUGCAAUUUUUCAUCUUCAACGAGGAAUGCCUAGUAAACGCAAGUCAUCAGCUUGCAUUGAUUACGUCCCUGCCCUUUGUACACACCGCCCGUCGCUCCUACCGAUUGAGCGGUCCGGUGAAGACUCAAGAGAUAUGUAGGCGCUCGGGUGACCGAACGCGUUGCGUGUCAAAUUUGUCUAAACCUUAUCGCUUAGAGGAAGGAGAAGUCGUAACA
rnacentral:rRNA from 1 species